AUGGGAACCCAUUUGAUAUCUGACACAGAUCCCGGAGGAGGAUUUGACUCCUUGCCAGAGUUGAAGGAAGCUGGCCUUCAAUCUCCAACCAGGCUGAGAGCACCAUUUGAGCUCAAGAGUGAAUUGUAUUGGAAAAGCAGCAGAAUCUCCGAAAUGAAUUGUCAUGAAAUGAGGCUUCAAAUGAAAGUGCACGGAGAGCCUGGGCCUAAUUGGCAGAGGAGUUAGUCAGGUAAGAGACCAAUUCUAAAUGUCCCAUUGCAGAACUUUUGUAACAUGUGCCCGUCUUCUCUCAUAUCCUGCCCCCAAACACCUCCUUCUACCCUUACACAGACUUCGGAAGAUGACACUUAUUUGGCAAAGAUAACACUGAGCUAUUUCAAAUUUAAAAAUCUAUAAUCCAUAAGCUUGGCAAGAAAAUGUCUCUCUGAACCAUGGUAUACUUUGAACUGUUCCCGAUGGUAGGGUGAAUAAUGUUACCCCAAAUAUGUCCACACCCUAAUCCCUAAUCUGUAUAUAUUACCUUAUCUGCAAAAGGGACUUUUUCAGAUGUGAUUAAGGAACUUUAUAUGGGAAGAGCAUCCUGGAAUAUCCAGGAGGGACAAUGUAAUCAGAAGGUUCCUAAUGGGAGAGAUGAGAGAGAGGUUAGAUGCAGAGAUGAUGUGAUGACAGAGGUAGAGACUGGAGUGAUAGCUUUGAAGAUGGAGGAAGGGGCCAAAGGCCAGAGAAUACACACGUUUACUAGAAGCUGAAAAGGCUAAGUAAGUGGAUUUUUUUUCUUAGAGCUCCCAGAAGAAACCAACUCCUACUAUACCAUGACUUUUACCUAGUGAGAUCCAUUGUCAACAUCUGACUUCCAGAAUUAUAAGAUGAUAAAUUUGUUUUAAGCAAGCUGCUCCCCCAAAUUCUCCUAGAUGUGCUGUAGAGCUGGAAACUUCCAUGGAAUUAUUGCUUUGAAUGGUAUCACUGAAGGACACAGUUGUUUAAAGUGUCCACUAGAAUGUAAAGGGAAAAUGUGUUAACAUUGAACCUGUUGUGCCUUGAUCUGAUUGGCUGGCAGAGUGUGGCAGGAGAUUCAUCUAGCAAGUGAUGUCUGCAAUGAGAGGGUGCCAAAGCAGGAGGGAGGGAGGGAGGGAGGGAGAGAGAGAGAGAGAGAGAGAAAGAGGGAGAGAAUCUUCCAUCUGCUGGUUCACUCCCCAAACAGCUGGGGCUGGUCCAGGCCAAAGCCAGGAGCCAGGAGCCAGGUCUCCCACAUGGGUGCAAGUACUUAGGCCAUCUUCUGCUGCUUUCCCAGGCCCAUUAUGAGAGAGCUGGAUCAGAAGUAUAGCAACUGGGACUCAAAUUGGCACCCGUUAUAGGAUACUGGCACUGCAGGCAGAGACUUAAUCUUCUAUACCACAGUGUCGGCCCUUCUUUAUCAGUUUUUGCAAAUCCUUAAUUUUAAUCUACUCUAUAUUUACAGGCUUAACUCACCACUAAUCAUAAUAUUCAACAAGUAAAAAAUAUCAAGACCACAGUUCUACUGGCAUAUAAACAAGGGCUGAAAAUGACAAUCAUAUCCCCAAAUGACCAUUUCAUUCCUAUAUAUUUUUGGUAUUCUAUAUUAACUGCUACAUAUCAGAGAAAACAUAUGAUAUUUGUCUUUUUGAGACUGGCUUAUAUCACUAGGCAUAAUGAUUUCUAGUUGCAUCUAUUUUGUUGCUAAAGACAAUAGUUCAUUCUUUUUGAUGGCCAAGUAGUAUUUUAUAGUGUAUAUGUACCACAUUUUCUCUAUCCAGUCAUCAGUUAAUGGGCAUCUGGGUUGAUUCCAUAUCUUAGCUAUUUUUGAAUUGAGCUACAAUAAACAUGGAGGCAUAAAUAAUUCUUCCA
ensembl:lncRNA